CUGAGGCGUGACGACGAGGCACUACGGUGCUGAAGCAACAAAUGCCCUGCUUCCAGGAAAAGCCUCUAAGCAUCAGGUAACAUCAAAUCGUACCCCAAACCGACACAGGUGGUCAGGUAGAGAAUACCAAGGCGCUUGAGAGAACUCGGGUGAAGGAACUAGGCAAAAUGGUGCCGUAACUUCGGGAGAAGGCACGCUGACACGUAGGUGAAGUGAUUUACUCAUGGAGCUGAAGUCAGUCGAAGAUACCAGCUGGCUGCAACUGUUUAUUAAAAACACAGCACUGUGCAAACACGAAAGUGGACGUAUACGGUGUGACGCCUGCCCGGUGCCGGAAGGUUAAUUGAUGGGGUCAGCGCAAGCGAAGCUCCUGAUCGAAGCCCCGGUAAACGGCGGCCGUAACUAUAACGGUCCUAAGGUAGCGAAAUUCCUUGUCGGGUAAGUUCCGACCUGCACGAAUGGCGUAAUGAUGGCCAGGCUGUCUCCACCCGAGACUCAGUGAAAUUGAACUCGCUGUGAAGAUGCAGUGUACCCGCGGCAAGACGGAAAGACCCCGUGAACCUUUACUAUAGCUUGACACUGAACAUUGAGCCUUGAUGUGUAGGAUAGGUGGGAGGCUUUGAAGUGUGGACGCCAGUCUGCAUGGAGCCGACCUUGAAAUACCACCCUUUAAUGUUUGAUGUUCUAACGUGGACCCGUUACCCGGGUUGCGGACAGUGUCUGGUGGGUAGUUUGACUGGGGCGGUCUCCUCCUAAAGAGUAACGGAGGAGCACGAAGGUUGGCUAAUCCUGGUCGGACAUCAGGAGGUUAGUGCAAUGGCAUAAGCCAGCUUGACUGCGAGCGUGACGGCGCGAGCAGGUGCGAAAGCAGGUCAUAGUGAUCCGGUGGUUCUGAAUGGAAGGGCCAUCGCUCAACGGAUAAAAGGUACUCCGGGGAUAACAGGCUGAUACCGCCCAAGAGUUCAUAUCGACGGCGGUGUUUGGCACCUCGAUGUCGGCUCAUCACAUCCUGGGGCUGAAGUAGGUCCCAAGGGUAUGGCUGUUCGCCAUUUAAAGUGGUACGCGAGCUGGGUUUAGAACGUCGUGAGACAGUUCGGUCCCUAUCUGCCGUGGGCGCUGGAGAACUGAGGGGGGCUGCUCCUAGUACGAGAGGACCGGAGUGGACGCAUCACUGGUGUUCGGGUUGUCAUGCCAAUGGCACUGCCCGGUAGCUAAAUGCGGAAGAGAUAAGUGCUGAAAGCAUCUAAGCACGAAACUUGCCCCGAGAUGAGUUCUCCCUGAGACUUUAGGUCUCCUGAAGGAACGUUGAAGACGACGACGUUGAUAGGCCGGGUGUGUAAGCGCAGCGAUGCGUUGAGCUAACCGGUACUAAUGAACCGUGAGGCUUAACCUUACAACGCCGAAGCUGUU
rnacentral:rRNA from 1 species